UCUAGGGGUAUGAUUCUCGCUUUGGGUGCGAGAGGUCCCGGGUUCAAAUCCCGGACGAGCCCAGCUCCUAUUUUUCUACUCUUCUGGAAGUAGCUGUGAAGUUCCUCCUGUUGAAAUUCCAGAAGACAGCAAGACAAGAGAAGAGCGCCCUUGCAUGAGAGUUGUCUGGGUGGAGGUCCGGUUCCUCGCUACUCGAGCCUUAGGAGCUUCGCCACGGAAGGAGGGAACCGGUGCUUUGGUCUGCAGAAUUCAGAGACCGGUCGGCCCAGAUCUGCUGGGUAUUCCGAGGUCAGCCACAGCUGCCUCGGAGAGGGAUUUCCAACCCUGGACAGAGUCCCCAGGGCGGCUAGGACACAGCGACUCUCCGGGGGAGGGAGGAGACCCGCCGGCCGGGGCCUGGGGUGCUAUCUGCCGGGCGGUCCACCUGCCCCAUCCGCGCGCACCCUGUCUUCGGGCCAGCGCGCCGGCGGCUCUCAGCGUCUGCCUCCCACCUAGGCUUUGGCCUCGCUGCUGGGCCAGGCACGACCCACAGCAGGCUCGCUGUACCACAGGGGGCCGCGCCGCCGACUCCGAGGCCGGAUCGGGGCUUCUAGGAGUGGUGGCCGGGCUCUUGGGAGGACCGCCCGUCGGGAACAGUGACCGUGACCUCUAGAGCGCAGGCUUCCAUGUGCGCAGCGGGAAUCGCCAGCCAAGCUCCACGCAGCCUCCGGGGCCAAGAGCAAGGGCAAGCCUCGCCGGCCAGCUAAGGGCUUCUCACUCUGCGGGAUGGAGAGGGACUUGGACGACCGUCUGGAUUCACCCUUGCAGGGCGGGUCUGAAACCCGACUCUCCUUCCAGCUCGGUCCCUCGCGUCCCGCCCCUAGACGUCUGAAUGGUCAUAAAACGGACCGAGGGGCCAGGCCAACGUGGCUCGUUGGUCUAGGGGUAUGAUUCUCGCUUAGGGUGCGAGAGGUCCCGGGUUCAAAUCCCGGACGAGCCCAUAUUUAUGUUCCAUACACCCAUAAAUCGUACCAGGCUCCGGAUGAGUAGGCUGACCUUUUAAAGACCUAAAACUCUGCUGCCCCGUGGUACUUCCUAGAAAACAGGACCAGUGUUCUUUCGAGCUCCUGAACCGUCCCCCAGUGAGUGACCCAAGAGUUAAGACAGAUAAAGCGCUACAUGAGACACCGUUGGCAGAUGCCGGCUACAUGGAUGGCACAGCUCUCCACAAGCUAUACUGAUUGAGAUGAGUAACGGGUAAUUGAAACAGAAGUUAAAUGGGGCCGAAAGGAUGGCUCAGUGGCUGAGGGCACUUGCUGCUCUUUCGGAGGACCUGGAUGACUUCACAAAACCGACCUCACAUAGAUCACAACUGCUUUUAACUCCAGCUCCAUGGGUCCAAUGCCUUCUUCUGGCUCCUGCAGACGCUGAAUGCACAGCGUACACAUACAUACACGCAGGCACA